rnacentral:rRNA from 1 species
AGUGAACGCUGGCGGUAGGCCUAACACAUGCAAGUCGAACGGCAGCACAGUAAGAGCUUGCUCUUACGGGUGGCGAGUGGCGGACGGGUGAGGAAUACAUCGGAAUCUACUUUUUCGUGGGGGAUAACGUAGGGAAACUUACGCUAGUACCGCAUACGACCUACGGGUGAAAGCAGUGGAUCUUCGGACCUUGCGCGACUGAAUGAGCCGAUGUCGGAUUAGCUAGUUGGCGGGGUAAAGGCCCACCAAGGCGACGAUCCGUAGCUGGUCUGAGAGGAUGGUCAGCCACACUGGAACUGAGACACGGUCCAGACUCCUACGGGAGGCAGCAGUGGGGAAUAUUGGACAAUGGGCGCAAGCCUGAUCCAGCCAUACCGCGUGGGUGAAGAAGGCCUUCGGGUUGUAAAGCCCUUUUGUUGGGAAAGAAAAGAAGCAGGUUAAUACCCCGCUGUUCUGACGGUACCCAAAGAAUAAGCACCGGCUAACUUCGUG